GUGCUCACUUUGGCAGCACAUAUACUAAAAUUGUAACAAUACAGAGAAGAUUAGCACAGUCCCCACACAAGGAUGACACAGAAAUUAGUGAAGCAUUCCAUAAUUUU
rnacentral:snRNA from 1 species